CAGCAGUGGAGUUCACUGUCUUCCACUCUGGUUGCUGUCGCGGUGGCUGUUGUUUGGCAUGGUGUGUUCUGGAUGUAGCCACAUUCUUUGUGUCCAGUUGCUGUAAUUGCUGUCAAGUGUGGCUGAUUGCUGGCCUGGGGGAGAUGAUCAGCUGGAGCCCUGCAGUGUGUAUGUGAUUGUUGGUCGGCUCUAGGUGUGUGGCCAAGACGUGGAUGGGCUGUAUUUCCAGGGUUUAUAUCUUCGGCUCACCGGCUGUCCAGCGUCCAGUCUUCACCACGUGGACCCGUGCUGCUGUUUUGGUUUGUUUUGGUUUACUUCGGUUUUCUUUGGUUUUGUUUGUUUUAUGUUCAGCUGCCAACCUAGAGUGGAGUACCAUGUUGGCCCAGCACUGCUGAGUGCAGCCUGGGCCUGUUUUGGUGCAGAGGCCGUGUCACCUGUUUGGACUUUGAAGGCUGAGGCCUGGUGACACAGGCUCUUGCAAUUGCUCAACGGAUUUUUUUAUUUUUAUUUUUUUAUUGAUUGUUUAGAUAUAGACCCCUUCAGAGCCUACGUCAUCAACAAGCUGCGUGCGCAUCAUGGAGCCGGAAGUACUGCUUCAUAUCAUUUACCUGGCAUUGCUCGCACCACAUGAAGUAGCAAAACUAAAAGCUAACACUGAACUAUCGGCAUCAUAACGUUAGGUUGUUGUGUUUUUGGUUGUAUGAACCGAAAUACUAAAGAACAACUUAAGUUCUACCGCAUACCAAGGGGCUCUCGGCUAGGGUUGCCAACUUUCUCACAACUAAAUAAGGGACAGGUGCACAGUGCCACUAAAAAACAUCUUCUCAACUCUCUAUCGUAACUAUCAGGUAGCGAUACUCCUUCCUGUUCAGUGCUAAAGUUAUUGAUCUGCAUAAGCAGCACAUGGCUAAUUGAAUAUUCAUGAGAUAAGCACGGUGCAGCUGGUUAGCAUUAUAAAGGCUAUCCAGGCUAGCAGCGGUGAAGACAUAAAGCUGAUGGAGGGAUAAAAAACAAAGGUACAGCACAAAACUACCAACAAAUGGAGGACAACACCUAACUAUUACUGGACCGGAGGAGCCAUUUUUCACGGCUGGAUGUUUAAGUUUAAGAUGAACAGCGGCUGCAGCUAAAUUCAUUGGCUUAUGAAGAUCGUAAGAUCGUUAAUGGGUGAGCGACACAGUUCAUUUAAAUUGCAGAGUUUGUGUUUGGAGGAUAUGUGGCUGUGAGCUGCUAAUCAGAGUUUAAAGGCUAUGGGCUAACUGGGAGCCCUCUUUAUUUACCAACAGUAAAUGGGUCUAUUGCUUUAAUCAUUUCUUUUGCUAGUUUGGUUUGUUUCUUGUAUUAGUUGGUUUAAUUGUUUGUUUUUGUUGGUUGCUUUUGUGAGUGUAUUUUGUUUCUUGUUUUGGAUUUAAUUCAUCAUUCAUUGUUCUGUUCCUUUUCUCCACACUAGUUAUGGUUAGUUUGGGCAUGUUUUAUUAUUUUUUUCUUUGUCUUUUGUUACAGGUGCUGUUGCGGCAGUUAUUCCUUGGUGGUAUUUUCUUCACGGUCCCCUUCUUUUGUUUGAUUUUACGUGUGUAUGGUUUGUAGUGUCACGGGUGAUUACUUUGAGGAUUCUUCGCCCCUUUUGGUUGUCCUGCCGUAGGGUAAACCUCAGCCCAGGUUUUAAUUCUUUGUUGCCCAUUCUUCCUUUUAGCUGGUAUAUGUUAACUGGUGUGGAUUAUUUUCUUUUUUUUGAUAAUUGGUUAAUAAACAUUGUUAAAUUGGACAUGUCUCACCCCUCCUGUGUAAUGGAACUUGUGUUGGCCUAGUGACUGGAAACUCACCAGAGCUAGAUUUCCUGGGUGCUAGACCCAGGUGGCGUUGUCGAAACCAUAGUUGGUCUGAUUAAGUACAAAGAUCCCUUGUAAAUCUCCCCACACUCACAUGCUGUCCAUUUCUUCUGAUCCUCCUCGAGAUGGUUCUGCUUCUUUAUUAGAGUCCAGCUGUGUUAAGUUAAACUGAUUGGACUUGAUUAGGAAAGGCACACACCUGUCUAUAUAAGGCCUUGCAGCUGACAGUGCAUGUCAGAGCAAAUGAGAAUCAUGAGGUGGAAGGAACUGCCCAAUGAGCUCAGAGACAGAAUUGUGGCAAGGCACAGAUCUGGCCAAGGUUACAAAAGAAUUUCUGCAGCACUCAAGGUUCCUAAGAGCACAGUGGCCUCCAUAAUCCUCAAAUGGGGCAGCAUAGCUCAGUAGAUAGAGUGGCUGUCUUGCAACCAGAGGGAUGCGGUUUGAUUCCCCCUGAGCAAGACACCUAGCCCCUAAUUGCUCCUGGUGGGUCGUGGUUAGCGCUUUGCAUGGCAGCUCCCGCCAUCAGUGUGUGAAUGGUGAAUGUGGUGUAUCAUGUAAAGCGCUAUAUAAAUACAACCUUUUACCAUUUGCCAAAUGGAAGAAGUUUGGGAUGACCACAACUCUUCCUAGACCUGGCCGUCCAGCCAAACUGAGCAAUCGUGGGAGAAGAGCCUUGAUGAGAGAGGUAAAAAAGAACCCAAAGAUCCCUGUGGCUGAGCUCCAGAGAUGCAGGCGGGAAAUAGGAGAAAGUUCCACAAAGUCAAAUAUCACUGCAGCCCUCCACCAGAGUGGCAGAGUGGCCCGACAGAAGCCUCUCCUCAGUGCAAGACACAUGAAAGCCCACAUAGAGUUUGCCAAAAAACACAUGAAGGACUCCCAGACUAUGAGAAAUAAGAUUCUCUGGUCUGAUGCGACCAAGAUUGAACUUUUUGGUGUUAAUUCUAAGCGGUAUGUGUGGAGAAAACCAGGCACUGCUCAUCACCUGCCCAAUACAAUCCCUACAGUGAAACAUGGUGGUGGGAGCAUCAUGUUGUGGGGGUGUUUUUCAGCUGCAGGGACAGGACGACUGGUUGCAAUUGAAGGAAGGAUGAAUGUGGCCAAGUACAGAGAUAUCCUGGAGGAAAACCUCUUCCAGAGUGCUCAGGACCUCAGACUGGGCCGAAGGUUCACCUUUCAACAGGACAAUGACCCUAAGCACACAGCUAAAAUAACAAAGGAGUGGCUUCAGAACAACUCUGUGACCGUUCUUGACUGGCCCAGCCAGAGCCCUGACCUAAACCCAAUUGAGCAUCUUUGGAGAGACCUCAAAAUGGCUGUCCACCAACAUUCACCAUCCAACCUGACAGAACUGAAGAGGAUCUGCAAGGAAGAAUGGCAGAGGAUCCCCAAAUCCAGGUGUGAAAAACUUGUUGCGUCAUCCCAAGAAGACUCAUGGCUGUACUAGCUGAAAAGGGUGCUUCUACUCAAUACUGAGCACAGGGUCAGAAUACUUAUGAUCAUGUGAUAUUUCAGUUUUUCUUUUUCAAUAAAUUUGCAAAAAAUUCUACAUUUCUGUCAAGAUGGGGUGCUGAGUGUACAUUAGUGAGAAAUAAAAUGAACUUUUUUGAUUUUUGGCAAAUGGCUGCAAAGACAGAGUGAAAAAUUUCAAGGCGUCUGAAUACUUUCUGUACCCACUGUAAAUACCUGGAAAUAAAAGCUGAAAUGUU